CUCCCGUUGAUCCUGCCGGACCUGACUGCUAUCGGAUUGGUACUAAGCCAUGCGAGUCGUUGUAGCAAUACAAGGCGGACGGCUCAGUAACACGUAGUCAACCUAACCUAUAGACGUGGAUAACCUCGGGAAACUGAGAAUAAACCGCGAUAGAUCAUUAUGCCUGGAAUGGCUUAUGGUUCAAACAAUUUAUUGCCGUAGGAUGGGACUGCGGCCUAUCAGCUUGUUGGUGAGGUAAUGGCCCACCAAGGCUAUAACAGGUACGGGCUCUGAGAGGAGAAGCCCGGAGAUGGGUACUGAGACACGGACCCAGGCCCUAUGGGGCGCAGCAGGCGAGAAACCUUAGCAAUGUGCGAAAGCACGACUAGGUUAAUCCGAGUGAUUUCUGUUGAAGAAAUCUUUUGUCAGUCGUAAAACCACAGACGAAUAAGGGGUGGGCAAGUCUGGUGUCAGCCGCCGCGGUAAUACCAGCACCUCGAGUGGUCAGGAGGUUUAUUGGGCCUAAAGCAUCCGUAGCCGGCUACGCAAGUCUCCGGUUAAAUCCAGCUGCUCAACAGAUGGGCUGCCGGAGAUACUACAUAGCUAGGGAGCGGGAGAGGUAGACGGUAUUCUGUGGGUAGGGGUAAAAUCCACUGAUCCAUAGAGGACCACCAGUGGCGAAGGCGGUCUACCAGAACGCGUUCGACGGUGAGGGAUGAAAGCUGGGGGAGCAAACCGGAUUAGAUACCCGGGUAGUCCCAGCUGUAAACGAUGCAAACUCGGUGAUGCAUUGGCUUAUGGCCAAUGCAGUGCCGCAGGGAAGCCGUUAAGUUUGCCGCCUGGGAAGUACGGACGCAAGUCUGAAACUUAAAGGAAUUGGCGGGGGAGCA
rnacentral:rRNA from 1 species